rnacentral:rRNA from 1 species
UGAAGAACUGUAAUGUCAUUAAUUUGGUGUUGCAGGGAAACAGGACUGUUACUUUGAAAAAAUUAGAGUGUUUAAAGCAGGCUAACGCUUGAAUACAUUAGCAUGGAAUAAUGAAAUAGGACGUUCAAACCUAUUUUGUUGGUUUCUAGGAUUGACGUAAUGAUUAAUAGGGAUAGUUGGGGGCAUUAGUAUUCAAUUGUCAGAGGUGAAAUUCUUGGAUUUAUUGAAGACUAACUACUGCGAAAGCAUUUGCCAAGGAUGUUUUCAUUAAUCUUGAACGAAAGUUAGGGGAUCGAAGACGAUCAGAUACCAUCGUAGUCUUAACCAUAAACUAUGCCGACUAGGGAUCGGAUGAUGUUAAUUUUUUAAUGACUCAUUCGGCGCCUUACG